UACCAGCUCUCCGAGUGGUGUGGAUGUUUAUUGGGCCUAAAGCAUCCGUAGCUGGCUGGGCAAGUCCCCUGUUAAAUCCACCGAUUUAAUCGUUGGAGUGCGGGGGAUACUGUUAGGCUAGGGGACGGGAGAGGCAGACGGUAUUUUCGGGGUAGGGGUGAAAUCCUAUAAUCCCGGGAAGACCACCAGUGGCGAAGGCUGUCUGCUAGAACGCGCCCGACGGUGAGGGAUGAAAGCUGGGGGAGCGAACCGGAUUAGAUACCCGGGUAGUCCCAGCUAGUAAACGAUGCAGGCUAGGUGUUUGGGCGGCCACGUGCCGCUCUAGUGCCGCAGGGAAGCCGUUAAGCCUGCCGCCUGGGGAGUACGGCCGCAAGGCUAGAAACUUAAAGGAAUUGGGCGGGGAGCACCACAAGGGGUGAAGCUUGCGGUUU
rnacentral:rRNA from 1 species